UGAUUAUUCUAUUAGACUGCAUCUUCAUUACGCUGAUUUGAUUAUUUUUUCCUAUCGCGUAUGUAGAGCAGACUUCCUUUGGUCCAACAAACAUUAAGACUGUGCCUCUAUAAUGUCGCUUAUUUAGAUGAUGAGUGAACUUUCAGUUACUCUAGAUGCAUGAUCUGUGUGUAAUUAAAAGACUGAAACAAGAAAUUUGCCUUUUUUCCCUUAAAAUUGCAGCUGAAACUAUGUAGUCCCCUGGACUCCCACUGUAAGAUAGUUGAGAAUGAUUAUCGGAAUCUUCCAGGAGAAAAAUUUCCAUCAUACAGAUCCUGGGAAUAUCGAGUUAUUCCAAGAGGUACACUGCUAGCUACUAGUUAUCCAGAGAUAAGCUCCUCUCCUCAUGGAAUUUGGUGAAUGUUCCCUAUGGACUCCAGAGGGUGUUCUCUGCCAGGACAGUGAACUCUCUGUGAUUCUAACAGAACCUUCUUUAUCCUCUUGCUCCAAACCUCUUGCAUUUUAGUGAUAUUUUUCACUAUAUUUUUUCUAUAAUAAAUAAAAAUAAUUUCAAAAGUAAUAGAAAGUGAGAUUGAAAAAUGUGCCUUCUUAUUAUCUAUUCUCACCACAUUAUAUUUAACCUAGAAAACUGAGCAGAAGACUGAAAGGAUAUGUAUCAAAGUAAGAGAAAUGGACAAUUCACCUUGUAGCCAUUGAUAACCACUUACAUAAUUUUCCCAGGUUGAUUUAUAAUGUAUCAAUAAACUAUAAAGAAAACUUAUCUAGGCAUUUUUAAGUUUCAUUUUCUCUUUUGACAGCAAAUGCUACUGGCAUUUGCAAUUUAGCUUAACGACUAGCAAAUAUCAGUCCAAAUGGAAGUCUUAUUCCAAUUCCACUGAAACCCAUACAUCUCCUAAUAGUAAAGUUAUUCCAUCUUUAUUUAAAAAUCUUAAAUUGCACCAUUUUCAUCAGCAACUUAUUGCUCAGAAGCAGUUUUCACAGCAGUCUCUUUUUACCACCUAUCAAUCAACAUGAUUAGACCUGCCAAAUACUCAAAGGUAGGAAAUAAAAGGGCAAAAAUAAGACAGACCUGCCAGGUAUAACUUUGCAGAUCAAAUAAUUGGAAAUCUCUAUAUGUGUGAUCAUUGUAACCCUAGGAAUAUUUAGAGAGAUGUAGCCUUAAAGCUAAAUUUAUUUUUUAAAUUUUAAAAUAAAAAUCUACUUUCAUUUUUUGAAUACUCUUUUUUUUUUUUUUAACAAUUAGUAAAUAGUCUAAGACUCUAACGUGUAUCUCAUCCUCUUUGCCACUUAUUGCUUAUUUGCCACUUAUUGCUUAUUUGCCACUUAUUGCUUAUUUGCCACUAAGGCAAUCAGCAUAUAGGAUUCUGAUGGUGAGAGGAAUGAGUACAAUUCAAGCCAGUGAGAGUUUACCACUGACUUCCCAGAAAAGUUUUUCACUUUUAAAAUCUAGGCAAUGGUCAUCCCUUUCCUGCUGAGUAAAAUUGCUAUUGCUUCAGCAAUCAUUCUAAAUCUACCAUGACUGCCAAUGGAUGACCGAGUAAAACCAUAGGAAAUAUAUGAAUAAAUGGUGAUAUCACUGUGCCAUUAAAUCAUCAGACCCUGAAUCCUAUGCUAACUGUAGCUUUUCUGUUACAUAAUUAAAUAUAUAUUAAUAUUGUUCAAAGCAGUUUGAGUUGGAUUUUCUGCACCUUGCUGCUGAAAGCAUUUUAAAUAAAACAUGGUCUCUAGGUUUGAUUGAUCGGUAGCUUGAUCUUCAGUCAAUAUUUGAUUCACCCUUUGGACAUUUAUUAAAUAUCUACUAUCUCAGUAAAGACUAUAUUUGGCUACAAAUAAACGUGUCUUAAACAGGAUAUAUGUUUAUUUCUCUAUUGUAUAAACACUCCAGAGGUAAGUGGUUCAGAACUGGUUACUGGCUCUGCUCUAUGAACU